UACGGAGGGUGCGAGCGUUGUCCGGAAUCAUUGGGCGUAAAGGGCGCGUAGGUGGCCCGGUCAGUUCGUGGUGAAAGCGCGGGGCUCAACCCUGCGUCGGCCAUGAAUACUGCCGCGGCUGGAGCACUGUAGAGGCAGGCGGAAUUCCGGGUGUAGCGGUGGAAUGCGUAGAGAUCCGGAAGAACACCGGUGGCGAAGGCGGCCUGCU
rnacentral:rRNA from 1 species